UUUUGGUUUUCUCUCUAGUCUUGAGAAUGCAUACUCUAACUUACAAGUCUAUCUCUUACUUUGUUUGAGAAUAUUAGUUUGACCAAUUGGAAAAAAAGAAUAUUAGUUUGACAGUUUUUACUCUUUUGUAUUUGUUGAACCAUUAUCUUUGAAUCUUUUUGACAUGUCAUUUCUAUUUAGACAUUAUCAAACCUAGGUAAUAUUUUGUGCUUACAGAGCGGCUAUUUUUGGAACUUUGUAACUUAUAGCAUACUAGGCCUCUUGAUCAUAAUUCAUAUUUUGCUGGGCUAUGAAACUGUUUUUAUAAUUAAAAUGUGCAAGGAUAUGCAAAGGGAAGUAAAUAUAAAUAUGCCUCUGAUUGUACAUGUUCAUUUUUCUCUUCUCUUUUAAAUGGUGAGAGUUUGCUAAAACGUAUAUACUGGAGCACCUAAUUCAUUCUUAUGUAGUUCAACUAGGAGAAAGUAAUGCAAUACAAGAAGAAAAUCGAUUGAUUAUGGAUUAGGUUCAUGCAACUCUCAGCAAUAGCUUGCACGUGAAACCCUUAUGAAAGGGAGAAAUGGCCAUGAUUGUAUGAAUGAAGAGUUCUCUUACUACUUUAACAGAAGAUAUUGCAAAAAGGUAUAGUGGAUAGAGAAAAGUCUCAUUCUCAUGUGAAUGUGUGUGAAAUAACAUCUCAAAUGAAAAACUAGCUCAUUAUGAUAAUGUGCCAAUGUGAUCCUAUCUUUACCUAUGAACGGUUUGGUCCUCUAUUACAGUAGACCUGCAGAAUAAAGGCAUUUGUCAAUUAAGAGUGGUGGAAAAUAAUCACUUGCCGAAUUAUUGAACAUCUUUGUUUAAUACCAACAAGUGCCUGUGUUUUCAUCGUUACAUUAGGGUUUUGAGGUUUUUCUUUUGGAGGUAGGAGGGGGGAGCAGACACAUAUAAGUGAUGAGAAAGCAGUCAAAGGCAAAUGAGUGGAAAACAAAAACUAUAGGAUUAUAUUAGCAACUAACCUAGUGAAAUUUUGAGGAUAAACUUUACAACAACAACAACAAUCCAGUGAAAUCCCACAACGUGGGGUCUAGGGAGGGUAAAGUGUACGCAGACGUUACUCUUACCAAGGUAGGACGGUUGUUUCCGAAAGACCCCCGGCUCAAUAAAAGCAUAAAAAGAGGUUAGAUAAGGCUAAGAAGUUUAAAGCGAUAUGGGAAAGCAAAAACUUUGUGAUUACAUAUUUGGUAAAUCAGUCUUAUGCCUUGGGCACUGAUUUUCAGCCUUCAUGUGUUCUCUCUACUUCCGUUUGCACAUGCAAUAUUUGUACAGAAGAAAGUAGAUCCCAAAAGCAUUGAACCAACCAUUUCUAUUCCCCCAUUUCCGAAGUCUAUUUUAGUUGGCAUGUAACCAUUUGGUUCAAAAUUAGUGGUGGAAGUUACAGAAUUUGAGAGGUGUAAGAGGCUGGCUAUAGUGGAUGUUAGGAGUGCUAGAGGCGGGCCGAAGAAGUACUGGAGUAGGUGAUUUCGCUGGACAUGGCACACUUUCGGCUUAUUGAGGACAUAAUCCUAGAUAGAAAAGUUAGGUUGUCGAGAAUUAAGGUAAAAGGUUAGUAGGUAGCCGUGCGUUGUAGCACCUUUAGGUGGGUGAGGCAGGGUCUAGUCCCCGUUUCUCCUACUAGUAGUAUUCUUAUCUUCUGCUUCAUCCAUUUGUUACAUGUUGCCGUUAUUGGUAGACAAGAGAAGGGAAGCGAGACUGAGAUGGUUUGGACAUGUGAAGAGGACAUGUGCAAAUGCCCCAAUAAAGAGAUGUGAGAAGUUGGAUAUAGUAGGUAUGAGGAGAGAUAGAGGUAGGCGAAAAAAUUAUUGGGGAAAGGAGAUUAGACAUGUCAUGAUCUUAGAUAAGGGAAGGUAUAAAGGCCGCAGAUUAGGGUAGAAGGGUAGCAGGCAGUUCAGCUUUGACUCACUUUUCGGCGGGUUUAGGCUUGGUGGGAGCCUGGGAGCACUGUGUUUGUUUACUAGUCAUAUACAUGUAUUUCCUUUUCAAUUACCGCAUUAUUUAGUUACUGUUUCUUUCUCGGAAUGCUUUGUAUUGCUUUUCUUAUUAAGUGACAUGUUUUCUUCACUAUCGAUUUCUUUUUGUAAAUACUUUAAUUUGUUGCACUUGAGUUGAGGGUAUUUUGGAAACAAUCUCUCUACCUCUACGAGGCAGGGAUAAAGUCUGCGUACAGUGUACUCUCUCUAGACCCCACUUGUGGUAUUACGUUGGGUAUGUUGUUGUUAUCUAGCAUGUCUUGGUUUCUCGUUUUAGUUGUUAUGUAUCUUGCUAGUGCACUUGUCAUAUUUUCCUUGCAAACAGUUUCGUUUUUCUUUCUUUUGAGUCUGACAGUCUAUCGAAAACCUCCUCUCUACCCCACAAAGUUAGGGCUAAGGUCUGUGUAUAUACUAUCCUUCCCAGACUCCACUUGUGGGAUUAUAUUGGUAUGUUGUUGUUGAAGUUGCAGCAUCCUUCGUGGUACACUCGUGACAAGUUAAAGAUCCAUGGUAGUGAGCAAGAAGAUGAGAUUCACAAUUGACUAGUCAACACCACAUUGUCUGGCAGUUUAAAAUCACAAUUACUGGUUAUCUCUACUACUAUUUUAGAAGCCCUAGUAGAAAGGGAUGAGCUUGAUGGAAGUACCAGGGUGGUGAUGUGCCAUAUUGUUUCACUUCGCUAAUUGUAUUUGCGCUAUUGGGCUUGGUUAUGCAAUAGUUACCUAGUCUUGAUCUUCAACUUCAGGCUAUGUAUUGACUGCUGUCAUAUUUUUACUUCAACUUUCA